rnacentral:rRNA from 1 species
UACGUAGGGUGCGAGCGUUAAUCGGAAUUACUGGGCGUAAAGCGUGCGCAGGCGGUCGUGUAAGACAGGUGUGAAAUCCCCGGGCUUAACCUGGGAACUGCAUUUGUGACUGCACGGCUGGAGUGCGGCAGAGGGGGGGAUGGAAUUCCGCGUGUAGCAGUGAAAUGCGUAGAUAUGCGGAGGAACACCGAUGGCGAAGGCAAUCCCCUGGGCCUGCACUGACGCUCAUGCACGAAAGCGUGGGGAGCAAACAGG